GGGAUAUCUCUUAUUGAAGCUGACCGAUUACUAAGACCUGGAGGUUAUUUUGUUUUAACGUCUCCCACAGGCAAGACAGUUGGAGGUUCACUGUCUUCCAAGAAGAUAAACAUUGUGACACCAUUGGAAGAGAUGACCCGAAAAUUAUGUUGGAGUCUUUUGGCUCAGCAAUAUGAAACUUAUAUUUGGCAGAAAACUGUGGAUGCUCAUUGCUAUUUAUC
rnacentral:misc_RNA from 1 species